UACGUAGGGUGCAAGCGUUAAUCGGAAUUACUGGGCGUAAAGCGUGCGCAGGCGGUUGUGCAAGACCGAUGUGAAAUCCCCGGGCUUAACCUGGGAAUGCAUUGGUGACUGCACGGCUAGAGUGUGUCAGAGGGGGGUAGAAUUCCACGUGUAGCAGUGAAAUGCGUAGAGAUGUGGAGGAAUACCGAUGGCGAAGGCAGCCCCCUGGGAUAACACUGACGCUCAUGCACGAAAGCGUGGGGAGCAAACGGG
rnacentral:rRNA from 1 species